UACGAAAGGGGGCUAGCGUUGUUCGGAUUUACUGGGGCGUAAAGGGCGCGUAGGCGGGUGCGAUAAGUCAGGCGUGAAAAGCCCCCGGGCUCAACCCGGGAAAUAGCGCUUGAUACUGUUUGCGCUUGAAUCCAGGAGAGGAUGGCGGAAUUCCCAGUGUAGAGGUGAAAUUCGUAGAUAUUGGGAAGAACACCAGUGGCGAAGGCGGCUAUCUGGA
rnacentral:rRNA from 1 species